UUCCAGACCUUACCAAGUUCUUUCCCCAACGUCUCAGGGCGGGCGGGAGAAGGCGGGGGGAAAGCGAAGGAGAAAGGGACCCGGCAGGAGCGCACCGUGCGCCGCCGGGCUUUUCGCUUAAAAGGGCGGCUUGCCUGUCGUGCGAAUUUCACCUCAAUAAAUUCUUUUUAAUGGAAAUUAAUAAUUUUGAUGGUCUCCAGAAGGAGUUGGUCGGUGUCUUCAGCUGGGUCCAAAAUCGAUGCAAGUUUGGAGCGAAGGGUGAUUAAGAUAGUCUGCCGUACAUUGAUUUUUUUUUUUUAAGACGUUCUUGGGAGCCACCAGGGGAAGCCAUCUUGGAACCCAUUAGGGGGCUUGCCAAGGAAAACCCCUUUGGAGCCUCUGAGGGGCCCUGUUUGAGGGGCCUCUGAGGGGACACCUCAGGAGGUCGCCUUCCUUCAGGAGGGUCCAGGCAGCCCCACUGACCAGGGAAAGGAGAGGAGCCUUUGCGAGUGGAUCACGACGAAGGAAAACCACCGUCGGGGCCGUGAGGUGGCCGACGUUGAAACAGCAUUCCCGGGCCAGGCUGCCAGCCUGACUGUGCCUGUGGAUGGGGUUAAAAGAUCUGGGCAACGGUGUUUGGAGCCGCCGUGUAGCCGGACUCGAUCCCCAGGCAGUGGGCACGUCUGGCAGUCUCUGGAAGAAUCUGGAAGGUCAAGGUCACAUUUCAGCAGUGUCGGCGUCUUUGGGCCGCAACUGGCUGUAAGUACGGGCCGCCUCCGAUCCCCGUUCCCUGUGGAAUCUGAACUGACUCUUGCCUUCGGACUCCACAGACCUCCCUGUGUUGGCGGAUAGCAUUUGGAGGGAGACACCCCAGGAGGGAGAUGCUGGCUUUCUGCCGAAAGGCCUGGGGAGCCCAGGAGACUAGAAAUGUAAGAGGUGGGAUCCCAUUUGUCCCUGAGCGUGUGCAGCGUUUUCUGCCAGGUGGACUCAUGAUCCCUGCUGCUUAGGGCAUCGAGAUAGAGCACGAGGCAGGUUGCCUGCAUUUGGUCUAGAAUGAAAUAAACAAUUAACUCCUGGGCCCACGA